rnacentral:antisense_RNA from 1 species
GUGGGAGCGGGCUUGCCCGCGAAUAGCGGUGUAUCAGUCAACUUAUUUGUGACUGAUACACCCUAAUCGCGGGCAAGCCCGCUCCCAC